UCCCGUCGCGGGGUAACAUUUGUGCUUGCACAAGAUGACGACCGGCGCACGGGUGCGCACCGCGUAUGGAACCUACCUUGUACAGGGGAAUAGCCUUUGGAAACGAAGAUUAAUGCCCCGUGGUACCAUGACCCGGCAUCGGGAUAUGGUUAAAGCCUUCGGGCGGUACAAGAUGGCCAUGCGUCCCAUUAGCUAGUUGGUAAGGUAACGGCUUACCAAGGCUACGAUGGGUAGGGGCCCUGAGAGGGGGAUC
rnacentral:rRNA from 1 species